rnacentral:lncRNA from 1 species
GCGGUAGAUGGUGAUGGCGUAGGACGGCAGAAUAGACGGGACGGGAGGUGGCAGCACAUGGCGGAGAAGAAGGCGGGGCUGGUGGCAGUAGCAGCGGACGGCGGCGGACAGUAGAGGCAGAAGGUGGCGGCGGACGGCGGAGAAGAAAGCAGGUGUGGUGGCAACGGCAGCGGACGGUGACGGCGGACUGCGGCGGACGGCAGAAGCAAAAGGUGGCAGCGGAUGGUGAUUGCGACGGCGAUAAUGAGCGGCCAACGAGCAGCUGAUGCAGGCGGAGGUGGCCAUGGAUAAUUGACCCUCACGGUCUCGCCUUCUCUGUCUCUCUGUCUCUCCGUCUUUUGGGC